GACGAACGCUGGCGGCGUGCCUAAUACAUGCGAGUCGAACGCACAGUUUAUACCGUAGCUUGCUACACCAUAGACUGUGAGUUGCGAACGGGUGAGUAACGCGUAGGUAACCUGCCUGGUAGCGGGGGAUAACUAUUGGAAACGAUAGCUAAUACCGCAUAAUAUUAAUUAUUGCAUGAUAAUUAAUUGAAAGGUGCAAUUGCACCACUACCAGAUGGACCUGCGUUGUAUUAGCUAGUAGGUGAGGUAACGGCUCACCUAGGCGACGAUACAUAGCCGACCUGAGAGGGUGAUCGGCCACACUGGGACUGAGACACGGCCCAGACUCCUACGGGAGGCAGCAGUAGGGAAUCUUCGGCAAUGGACGAAAGUCUGACCGAGCAACGCCGCGUGAGGGAAGAAGGUUUUCGGAUCGUAAAGCUCUGUUGUAAGAGAAGAACGGGUGUGAGAGUGGAAAGUUCACACUGUGACGGUAUCUUACCAGAAAGGGACGGCUAACUACGUG
rnacentral:rRNA from 1 species